GAGGAGGAAGGAAUGGGCAACGGUAGGUCAGCAUGCCCCGAAUUAUCUGGGCUACACGCGGGCUACAAUGGGUGGGACAAUGGGUAUCGACACCGAAAGGUGAAGGCAAUCUCCUAAACCCAUCCGUAAGUUCGGAUUGUGGGCUGCAACUCGCCCACAUGAAGCUGGAAUCUGUAGUAAUCGUGUCUCAAAAUGGCACGGUGAAUAUGUCCCUGCGUCCUU
rnacentral:rRNA from 1 species